UGAUAACCUUAGGUUUGAAGCCUCAAGCUCCUCUCCUGUUUCAAACCACCAUCUUUCCUUUGUUCUCUCCCUUCUUCCCUCUCUAUGCCUUCAAAGUAAACCAAACAAUUUCAAAGCCAUGGACCAACACAAGACCGACGACAAUCUCCGUUACGUAGGUGGCCUCACACGUGUUCUCGCCGCCGAUGCCUCCAUUUCCUUUGCAGAUCCGUCCUGUGUUCCCGAUUUUCAACCUGAAUCUCUUGUUCGUAGAUGUCGACGACGAUGAUUUUUCCAUAGCCAAAGGGGCUGCCGCUUUGGAUGAUCUAACUGAUGAUGAUAUUCGAAUGGCUAUUCAAAUGCUUAUGGUGCAAGAAAUGCUUUAUUUGUGCCUGAGGUCCCAUUUGAAUUUUUAGUUAGGAGACAAAUUGCUCGUCUGUUAGACCCAAGCCUUUAGUGUCUUCGAUUUGUUUAUGAUGAACUAAUGAAGAUAAGCCACGCUUGUGAGGUAAUUGAGUUGCAAAGAUUUCCAGUAUUGAGAAAGCAUCUGGAUGAAGUCAUGGUAAAAUUUUUGCACGAUGGUGUAGAACCUGCUGAGAGAAUGAUAGGAAAUCUUAUUGAGAUGGAGAGGUUUGAUGGAGAAUGAAGGGUCGUGGGGACAGACCCUUGGUUUUCGUGAUUUUUUAUUUUAUUUUAUUUUAAGUUCGGGUUUUUUCAAAAAAAUCUAAUAUGGACUCGCUGGGCUUGUUAUGGGUUCUUUUGGUUUGUGUUGGACUUGUUUUAAGUUAAUCAAUGGCAGAGAUG